GAUCUUUAUAUAAUAAUUUAUUUUUAUAAAAAUAAGUUUAUUUUUUUUUAAAAGUUAAUUUAUAUUUUAUUGGGGUAAUAAUAAAAUUUUAUAAAUUUUUAUUUAUUAAUUACAAUUUUAAUUGAUUUAUUGAUCCAGUAUUAUUGAUUAUAAAGUUAAGUUACCUUAGGGAUAACAGCGUAAUGAUUUUUGAGAGUUCUUAUCGAUAAAAUAGUUUGU
rnacentral:rRNA from 1 species